AUGUUUCUGUGGGGUCUUCUCCUCUGCCUGGUGACAGCCCCCCUGGGUGUCCUGUCCCAGGUGCAACUGCAGGAGUCGGGCCCAGGCCUGGUGACCCCCUCCCAGACCUUCUCCCUCACGUGCUCUGUCUCUGAAUUCUCCAUCACAACCUAUGGUUACUGCUGGGACUGGUUACGUCAGCCCCCAGGGAAGGGCCUGCUCUGGUUGGGGCGUAUAUGUUGGGAUGGAAGCACCAGCUACGGCAAGAGCCGCGUCUCCAUCACCAGAGACACGAACAAGAACCAGUUCUCCCUGCAGCUGAGCUCAGAGACGCCCGAGGACACAGCUGUUUAUUACUGUGCAAGAGACACAGUGACGCACAGUGAGGGGAAAUCAGGGGAAGCCCAGACACAAACCUGCUGA